UGGAGAGAGUACGUAUGGAACAGAUAAAUAUCUAUUCACAGAGCAACCAAAUAAAGAUGAUUGAGUGAAUGGCUAAAGAAAUAAAUAUGUUCGAAUCUGUACCCAUCUCAUGUCUUUCCUGAUGAUUGCCUCCUUUACUGUAUGUUUUCCACUGAGAUGAAGAUUUUGGUCAUUUCCUCAUUCAUGUUCCUGCUUUUCAAAACCCAAGCAAGAAAGGAAACUUCUACAGUGACUUUCUCAUUAUGAAAUCUUAGCAUUCACUAGUCGGCCAUAAUGGAAAACCAGCCAAAUGGACACAUAUACACUGGUCUGUACCCGCAGAGAAAGAAAUGCAAAUCUCUGUGAUCAGAAAACUAUCCUAUCUUGUACAUUGUUAAAAGUCUGCCUCCAAAAAGUUUACUUCUGGAAUACUGUAAUUGAAUAGAAUCAGGGAUCCUACCUGUGUCCUUCAACUUUCACAUCUUGUCUACUCAAGUAAGGGUUGAAUUUGCAUGACUAUAUCUAAGGUUCGAGGGCUUACCUGUUGGCAGUAGACCCAGUAGUCUAUGAAUGGAAAUGGGCAAACCUGUGACCUCCCAAAACUUUAAUAUGAAAGUUUUGUUUGUGUAUACUCAUGGCAUUAUUCUUUUAAUAAAGAGAUAAUCUAUAUAGUUUUCUUUUUUAAAAGAUACUUUUAUUUCUUUAUUGUUGGGAACUGACACAGCUAAUUUCUUUCUGAAGAGGUUCUUUGGUUGAGAAUGG
rnacentral:lncRNA from 10 species